rnacentral:rRNA from 1 species
UACAGGGGGUGCAAGCGUUGCUCGGAAUCACUGGGCGUAAAGCGUACGCAGGCGGACCGUUAAGUCGGGUGUGAAAGCCCGGGGCUCAACCCCGGAACUGCAUUCGAUACUGGCGGUCUUGAAUACGGGAGAGGUGAGUGGAAUUCCUGGUGUAGAGGUGAAAUUCGUAGAUAUCAGGAGGAACACCGGUGGCGAAAGCGGCUCACUGGCCCGAUAUUGACGCUCAUGUACGAAAGCGUGGGGAGCAAACGGG